AACGAACGCUGGCGGCAUGCCUAACACAUGCAAGUCGAACGAGACCUUCGGGUCUAGGGGCGCACGGGUGCGUAACGCGUGGUAACCUGCCCUUAGGUUCGGAAUAACUCCCCGAAAGGGGUGCUAAUACCGGUUAAUGUCUUCGGACCAAAGAUUUAUCGCCUGUGGAUGGGCCCGCGUUGGAUUAGCUAGUGGGUAGGGUAAAAGCCUACCAAGGCGACGAUCCAUAGCUGGUCUGGGAGGAUGAUCAGCAACACUGGGACUGGGACCCGGCCCAGACUCCUACGGAAGGAAGAAGUGGGGAAUAUUGGACAAUGGGGGAAGUCCUGAGCCAGCAAUGCGGGGGGAGUAAUGAAGGCCUUAGGGUUGUAAAGCUCUUUUACCCGGGAUGAUAAUGACAGUACCGGGAGAAUAAGCACCGGCUAACUACGUG
rnacentral:rRNA from 1 species